rnacentral:rRNA from 1 species
AUGAACGCUAGCGACAGGCUUAACACAUGCAAGUCGAGGGGCAGCGGGGGUAGCGAUACCCGCCGGCGACCGGCGCACGGGUGAGUAACGCGUAUGCAACUUGCCUAUCAGAGGGGGAUAACCCGGCGAAAGUCGGACUAAUACCGCAUGAAGCAGGGGCCCCGCAUGGGGAUAUUUGCUAAAGAUUCAUCGCUGAUAGAUAGGCAUGCGUUCCAUUAGGCAGUUGGCGGGGUAACGGCCCACCAAACCGACGAUGGAUAGGGGUUCUGAGAGGAAGGUCCCCCACAUUGGUACUGAGACACGGACCAAACUCCUACGGGAGGCAGCAGUGAGGAAUAUUGGUCAAUGGCCGAGAGGCUGAACCAGCCAAGUCGCGUGAGGGAUGAAGGUUCUAUGGAUCGUAAACCUCUUUUAUAAGGGAAUAAAGUGCGGGACGUGUCCCGUUUUGUAUGUACCUUAUGAAUAAGGAUCGGCUAACUCCGUGCCAGCAGCCGCGGUAAUACGGAGGAUCCGAGCGUUAUCCGGAUUUAUUGGGUUUAAAGGGUGCGUAGGCGGCCUUUUAAGUCAGCGGUGAAAGUCUGUGGCUCAACCAUAGAAUUGCCGUUGAAACUGGGGGGCUUGAGUAUGUUUGAGGCAGGCGGAAUGCGUGGUGUAGCGGUGAAAUGCAUAGAUAUCACGCAGAACCCCGAUUGCGAAGGCAGCCUGCCAAGCCAUUACUGACGCUGAUGCACGAAAGCGUGGGGAUCAAACAGGAUUAGAUACCCUGGUAGUCCACGCAGUAAACGAUGAUCACUAGCUGUUUGCGAUACAGUGUAAGCGGCACAGCGAAAGCGUUAAGUGAUCCACCUGGGGAGUACGCCGGCAACGGUGAAACUCAAAGGAAUUGACGGGGGCCCGCACAAGCGGAGGAACAUGUGGUUUAAUUCGAUGAUACGCGAGGAACCUUACCCGGGUUUGAACGCAUUCGGACCGAGGUGGAAACACCCUUUCUAGCAAUAGCCGUUUGCGAGGUGCUGCAUGGUUGUCGUCAGCUCGUGCCGUGAGGUGUCGGCUUAAGUGCCAUAACGAGCGCAACCCUUGCCACUAGUUACUAACAGGUAAAGCUGAGGACUCUGGUGGGACUGCCAGCGUAAGCUGCGAGGAAGGCGGGGAUGACGUCAAAUCAGCACGGCCCUUACAUCCGGGGCGACACACGUGUUACAAUGGCGUGGACAAAGGGAAGCCACCUGGCGACAGGGAGCGAAUCCCCAAACCACGUCUCAGUUCGGAUCGGAGUCUGCAACCCGACUCCGUGAAGCUGGAUUCGCUAGUAAUCGCGCAUCAGCCAUGGCGCGGUGAAUACGUUCCCGGGCCUUGUACACACCGCCCGUCAAGCCAUGGGAGCCGGGGGUACCUGAAGUCCGUAACCGAAAGGAUCGGCCUAGGGUAAAACUGGUGACUGGGGCU